UGUUAGCCAGAAUGUUGCUCCUGUUAAAAAGCUCAGGGUUACAAAGGACAGGAACUGCUGCUGUGAUGGCGGAGUGGUGAAGGCGUUAGUCGAAAUCUAAUGAAGUUUCUGCUCACAGCGUUUCAUCAGUGUGUGAUAGUGAUUUAUUGUUAAGUCUUUACUGUGUGAAGUGAACGAUGUACAGAAGUGUUUCAUGCAUAGAAGAAACGUUGGAAACAAACAUAAUCUGGUUUACUGGAGGUGAAAGUUGUUUUGCUGGGACGAGGAGGAAGAACAUUAAAACUCACAUUAUCUCUUUAGGAAACAUGAUUCAUCUUGUGCUUUCUACAAGAUCAAAAAGGUUCAGAAAAAUCUUUUGAAACAAAAACAUGUUUCAAAUGUCUCAGACAUGUCUAAAACGUCUCAAAAGGCUUUAGGAGACGAUGAGUGGACGUCUCGUCUGCGGCGGUAGAGGACGAUGAGUGGACGUCUCGUCUGUGGCGGUAGAGGACGAUGAGUGGACGUCUCGUCUGUGGCGGUAGAGGAUGAUGAGUGGACGUCUCGUCUGUGGCGGUAGAGGACGAUGAGUGGACGUCUCGUCUGUGGCGGUAGAGGAUGAUGAGUGGACGUCUGCCUGUGGCGGUAGAGGAUGAUGAGUGGACGUCUCAUCUGUGGUGGUUUGUCAGCACUGGGGUUUGGCUCUGAAGCUGGAAACACACCUGCUCCCCGUCAGAAGAAAUGGUUUGAUCUGCUUCAUAAGGUUUGUGCUGACAAAAAUGUAUAAGAGAAGAUGAUUAAACACAGUUCCCAUAACCUAAAGGUCUUUAUUUGUACAGAGUGAGAAAUGUCCAAUGCAGGUCCACGGCCAGUCAAAACUUUUCAGAAACGUCUUUGUGGAUUCCACCCUCCUAAAGUGUUCAUUUCAGACUUUCAGGUCGUAAGUGUUCCACCUGCUGCAAGUGUUCCACCUGCUUUACUCCACUCCUACUGCUGUAGCGCCCUCUACCUCCACCCCCACCAUUAUACAGCCUGCACUUACAUUAUCACUGCUCAUUCAUUAUUUUCAUAUUUCAGUAUUUACUCCACACGCAAUUAUCUCUGGAACGUCCCCAAAGCCUUUUAUAGUCAUAUUGUCUUUUAUUGAAUAGAAGAUUAUUUGUGUUCUUUAAAACAGGAAUUUUAAAAAGAGCUUUAUAUGUCAUCAUCAUCAUCAUCAUCAUCAUCAUUAUUAUGUUUAAAUUAUAAUAUACAAUAUGUGUCUUUACUACCUGGUAGUCAAAGUUCAUCUCCUUCAUUCAGUGAUUCAUCUGCAUCCAGACCUGCUGUUUCUUCUGUUCUGCUCCUUCAACCAUUUCUUCCUGGUGUUUUGAGCCACUCAGAGACUUGAUAUUAUUUUAUUUAUAUUAUUAUUAUUUUAUUUAUUGUACUGUUUAUGAAUAUUGUUUGCUAAUGUUUAUGUCGCUGUGUAAUGAUUCUACUUUUGUGGAUUUACUACUAUUAUUAUUUAUUGUUAUUAUUAGUUGAUGUUUUAAACCCACUUAGUCACUUUUUAUCAUUGUACAUGUUUAUAUUUAUUGUUAAAUACCCCUUACUAUUAUAUACAUCAUUUAAAAAUAUUAUUUGUACCUUUGUAUGUUUGCAUCAAUUAUAUUUCAUCAUUUUACAUUUUUGUAGCAUUUUCAGUAAAUAAAAAUAAAAUGUUUUAUUGUUCAUAGAA